rnacentral:ncRNA from 1 species
AAAGACUUAGUCCCAACCUUACAGUUAGUUCUUGCUAAACACAUACAUGCAAGUAUCAGCACCCCAGUGUAAAUGCCCCUCACUGUCCACCGCGGACAAGAAGGAGCAGGUAUCAGGCACACCUACCGUAGUAGCCCAAGACACCUUGCACCAGCCACACCCCCAAGGGUACUCAGGAGUAGUUAACAUUAAGCAAGGAGCGGAAGCUCGACUUAGUUAUAGCACUUCCCACCAGGGCCGUUAAAUCUUGUGCCAGCCACCGCGGUCACACAAGAGACCCAAACUAACCGUACACGGCGUAAAGAGUGGAACCAAAACAUCUCUGAUCAACUAAGGCUAAAAUAUCGACCAAGCUGUCAUAAGCCCACGACGUACUAAAAACCGCCAUAAAAAUGACCCUAGGACCCCAGACAGACAACUUCCACGAAAGCCAGGACUCAAACUGGGAUUAGAUACCCCACUAUGCCUGGCCCUAAAUCCUGAUGCUCACCCAUCACCAGAGCACCCGCCAGGGCACUACGAGCACAAACGCUUAAAACCCUAAGGACUUGGCGGUGCCCAAAUCCACCUAGAGGAGCCUGUCCUAUAAUCGAUAACCCACGAUACACCCGACCAUCUUUUGCCAGACAGCCUACAUACCGCCGUCGCCAGCCCACCUCUUGAGAGUAUAACAGUGGGCAUAACAGCCUCAACCCGCUAAAAAGACAGGUCAAGGUAUAGCCCAUGAGAUGGCAGAGAUGGGCUACAUUGAGAUUGUGUAGAGAACCUACACGAAAGGGAGCAUGAAACUGCCCCCAGAAGGCGGAUUUAGAAGUAAAGACGAGACCAUAAAGCCCUCUUUAACUCGGCCCUGGGACACGUACAUACCGCCCGUCACCCUCCUCACAAGCCACAACCCCCAUAAAACCUAUACCCACCCCACCCAAGCUAGAGAUGAGGUAAGUCGUAACAAGGUAAGUGUACCGGAAGGUGCGCUUAGCAUAC